rnacentral:rRNA from 1 species
CCUACGGGAGGCAGCAGUGGGGAAUUUUGGACAAUGGGCGCAAGCCUGAUCCAGCUAUUCCGCGUGUGGGAAGACGGCCUUCGGGUUGUAAACCACUUUUGUAGAGAACGAAAAGUCUGUUGAUAAUACCGAUAGAUGAUGACGGUACUCUAAGAAUAAGCACCGGCUAACUACGUGCCAGCAGCCGCGGUAAUACGUAGGGUGCGAGCGUUAAUCGGAAUUACUGGGCGUAAAGGGUGUGCAGGCGGUUUUGCAAGAUGGAUGUGAAAGCCCCGGGCUUAACCUGGGAAAGCAAUACAUGACUGCAAGACUAGAGUGCGUCAGAGGGGGGUGGAAUUCCAAGUGGAGCAGUGAAAUGCGUAGAUAUUUGGAAGAACACCGAUGGCGAAGGCAGCCCCCUGGGACGCAACUGACGCUCAUACACGAAAGCGUGGGGAGCAAACAGGAUUAGAUACCCCAGUAGUC